rnacentral:rRNA from 1 species
UGGAAAGUUUUUCGGCUUGGGAUGGGCUCGCGGCCUAUCAGCUUGUUGGUGGGGUGAUGGCCUACCAAGGCGACGACGGGUAGCCGGCCUGAGAGGGCGACCGGCCACACUGGGACUGAGAGACGACCCAGACUCCUACGGGAGGCAGCAGUGGGGAAUAUUGCACAAUGGGCGGAAGCCUGAUGCAGCGACGCCGCGUGAGGGAUGACGGCCUUCGGGUUGUAAACCUCUUUCAGCAGGGACGAAGCGCAAGUGACGGUACCUGCAGAAGAAGCGCCGGCCAACUACGUGCCAGCAGCCGCGGUAAGACGUAGGGCGCGAGCGUUGUCCGGAUUUAUUGGGCGUAAAGAGCUCGUAGGCGGCUUGUCGCGUCGACUGUGAAAACCCGCGGCUCAACUGCGGGCCUGCAGUCGAUACGGGCAGGCUAGAGUUCGGUAGGGGAGACUGGAAUUCCUGGUGUAGCGGUGAAAUGC